UACGUAGGGGGCGAGCGUUGUCCGGAUUUAUUGGGCGUAAAGCGCCCGCAGGCGGUGCGCCAAGUGUGGGGUGACAGCGACCGGCUUAACCGGUCGAGUGUCCUACAGACUGGCGCACUUGAGGGCCACAGAGGAACAUGGAACUCCAGGUGUAGUGGUGAAAUGCGUAGAUAUCUGGAAGAACACCAAAGGCGAAGGCAGUGUCCUGGGUGGUCGCUGACGCUGAGAGGCGAAAGCCAGGGGAGCGAACGGG
rnacentral:rRNA from 1 species